AGCGAACGCUGGCGGCAGGCUUAACACAUGCAAGUCGAACGCAUCACUUCGGUGGUGAGUGGCAGACGGGUGAGUAACACGUGGGAACGUACCCUUCGAUCUGGGAUAACUUCGGGAAACUGGAGCUAAUACCGGAUACGCCCUUUUGGGGAAAGGUUUACUGUCGAAGGAUCGGCCCGCGUCUGAUUAGCUAGUUGGUGGGGUAACGGCCUACCAAGGCGACGAUCAGUAGCUGGUCUGAGAGGAUGAUCAGCCACACUGGGACUGAGACACGGCCCAGACUCCUACGGGAGGCAGCAGUGGGGAAUAUUGGACAAGGGGCGCAAGCCUGAUCCAGCCAUGCCGCGUGAGUGAUGAAGGCCUUAGGGUUGUAAAGCUCUUUUGUCCGGGACGAUAAUGACGGUACCGGAAGAAUAAGCCCCGGCUAACUUCGUG
rnacentral:rRNA from 1 species